rnacentral:rRNA from 1 species
GAUCCUGGCUUAGGACGAACGCUGGCGGCGUGCCUAACACAUGCAAGUCGAACGGACGAGGGGGAGCUUGCUCCCCAAGUUAGUGGCGGACGGGUGAGUAACACGUGAGCAACCUGCCCUUCGGAGGGGGACAACAGCGGGAAACUGCUGCUAAUACCGCAUAACGUAUCUGGGAGGCAUCUUCCGGAUACCAAAGAUUUUAUCGCCGAAGGAUGGGCUCGCGUCUGAUUAGAUAGUUGGCGGGUAACGGCCCACCAAGUCGACGAUCAGUAGCCGGACUGAGAGGUUGAACGGCCACAUUGGGACUGAGAUACGGCCCAGACUCCUACGGGAGGCAGCAGUGGGGAAUAUUGGGCAAUGGGGGCCAACCCUGACCCAGCAACGCCGCGUGGAGGAAGAAGGCUUUCGGGUUGUAAACUCCUUUGACGAGGGACGAUAGUGACGGUACCUCGAAAACAAGCCACGGCUAACUACGUGCCAGCAGCCGC